rnacentral:rRNA from 1 species
AUUUAACAGUUCGUGGGAUAGACGCUCGUAAGGCUACCCUUCCCACGCUGUUUCAACCCUUUGUCUUUUGCGUACUGUAUGUUUCCUCGGCGGGUUCGCCCGCCGAUAGGACACUUCAAAACCUUUUGUAAUUGCAAUCAGCGUCAGAAAAACUAUAAUAGUUACAACUUUCAACAACGGAUCUCUUGGUUCUGGCAUCGAUGAAGAACGCAGCGAAAUGCGAAAAGUAGUGUGAAUUGCAGAAUUCAGUGAAUCAUCGAAUCUUUGAACGCACAUUGCGCCCCUUGGUAUUCCAUGGGGCAUGCCUGUUCGAGCGUCAUUUGUACCCUCAAGCUCUGCUUGGUGUUGGGUGUUUGUCCCGCCUCGCGCGUGGACUCGCCUUAAAGUCAUUGGCAGCCGGAAUAAUUCUGGGGAACGCAGCACAACUGCAGCCUCCAUUUUACGCCGAGCGUCCAGUAAGCCUUUUUUUCAACGUUUGACCUCGGAUCAGGUAGGGAUACCCGCUGAACUUAAGCAUAUCAAUAAGCGGAGGAAAAGAAACC